AUGUUUGCCUUACUUAUUGAAAAUGGAGUGAUACAAAGAUUAGCAUGGUCCCUGGGUUAGGAUGGCACUCUAACUAGUGAAAUUUCCCUUUUUUGU
rnacentral:snRNA from 1 species